AGAGAGAGACAUGCGCGCAUAUCAAUAAGCGGAGGAAAAGAAACUAACAAGGAUUCCCUUAGUAACGGCGAGUGAAGCGGGAAGAGCUCAAAUUUGAAAUCUUCAAGGUUUUACCUUGACGAAUUGUAGUUUAAAGAAGUGUUUUCUGCUGAAGUUUUGGUAAAAGUUCUUUGGAAUAGGACAUCAUAGAGGGUGAGAAUCCCGUAUUUGACCAUUAUUUUCAGCUUUGUGAUACACUUUCAAAGAGUCGGAUUGUUUGGGAAUGCAGUCCAAAAUGGGUGGUAAAUUUCAUCUAAAGCUAAAUAUUGGCGAGAGACCGAUAGCGAACAAGUACCGUGAAGGAAAGAUGAAAAGAACUUUGAAAAGAGAGUUAAACAGUACGUGAAAUUGUCAAAAGGGAAGCGUUUGACACCAGUGUUGUUUUCUCGAAAAUCAAUUAAAAAUGGCUCGAUUUUGUAUUGCUGAGACCUUAAAAGCUCACUGUACAUUUUUCGUGUCUUUUUUAAUGCACUUUUCGUUUAACAAGUCAACAUCAGUUUCUUUUGUUGUAAAAGGGUCAUUGGAAGGUGGCUUUCUUUUCGGAGAAAGUGUUUAUAGCCUUUGGCCUCUGCAAUCGGAGAGACUGAGGUCUGCAGCGUAGACUCUUCGGGGUUAGAUACAUUUGUGCUAAGUUAUAGCUUUUUAUAGACAACUUGUUGACUAUAAUUAGUCCUUGUAGCUUACUCGCUUAUGCUAUUUUACCUACGCUUAGGAUGUUGAAGAUGUAGCACAUCAU
rnacentral:rRNA from 1 species